rnacentral:rRNA from 1 species
AUUGAACGCUGGCGGCAUGCCUUACACAUGCAAGUCGAACGGUAACAGGUCUUCGGAUGCUGACGAGUGGCGAACGGGUGAGUAAUACAUCGGAACGUGCCCGAUCGUGGGGGAUAACGAGGCGAAAGCUUUGCUAAUACCGCAUACGAUCUACGGAUGAAAGCGGGGGAUCUUCGGACCUCGCGCGGACGGAGCGGCCGAUGGCAGAUUAGGUAGUUGGUGGGAUAAAAGCUUACCAAGCCGACGAUCUGUAGCUGGUCUGAGAGGAUGAUCAGCCACACUGGGACUGAGACAUGGCCCAGACUCCUACGGGAGGCAGCAGUGGGGAAUUUUGGACAAUGGGCGAAAGCCUGAUCCAGCCAUGCCGCGUGCAGGAUGAAGGCCUUCGGGUUGUAAACUGCUUUUGUACGGAACGAAAAGCCUCUUUCUAAUAAAGAGGGGUCAUGACGGUACCGGAAGAAUAAGCACCGGCUAACUACGUG